rnacentral:rRNA from 1 species
ACAUACGACCAUAGGGUGUGGAGAACAGGGCUUCCCGUCCGCUCAGCCGUACUUAAGCCACACGCCGGUUAGUUAGUAGUAUGGUGGGUGACCACAUGCGAAUCCUGACUGUUGUAUGUU